AAUUGGACGUUAAAGAAAUUGCUAACAAUAGUAUAAUAGAUCAUGUUUUAUGUUUUUAGGCGUUUAGAUGCAGAAAUGGACAAAUAAAAUGUAAAAUAAAAUGUAAUUGAUUUAAUUAAAUAUAGAUUAAUUCUUGUUAGAGCAAAAUAAUAAAUACAUACGUACACACAUUAAAAAAGCAGCCAAGAUGAAUGAGUUUCAUUUUUUUUAUAGAUUCAAAUUGAAGACAGAAGCAGCUGGUAUAUGCGGUCACUUAAUAUUCAAAUCCAGUAGAUCCACUUCAGAUUUAUUUCUCAACAGUUUAUGUUCAAUUGGCUGUUUUCGUUCAUAUUCGCCAAGCUAUUUUGAAAUAAUCUUGUCCGUUAUGUGUUCGUUCGUACGACGAAAGGCAGAAUCCUGCAGCUCGAGAGAUAUAUGUUAUUCUGCCAGUGGCGGUGUCAAAUAGUCUUUCACACUUAAACGAGUCACAAACACCUGCAUUUAGCUCUUGCAGUGUUACAAUGGGUUUAUUGUGUGCAUUUGUGGUAAUAUUUUAUUUAAAAAAGCUCUUAAACAAGAAUAAAUUCGUUUGUUUUGAGCUCGACACUGUAAGCGCUGAUCGGAGCGGUGAUUUCAGAUAGGCAGCCACAAAUAUUUAAUUUUCACACAAACAGUUCAAAAACAUCUGAAUUUAGCUCUUGGUGUGUUCUAAUUGGUUGAUUGUGUGAUAUCGCUGUAAUAAUUUAUUUUUAAAAGCUUUAAAACAGGAAUAAAUUCGUUUUUUUCUGAGCUCUUUACUCCAGACGCUCGUGAUCAGAGCGGUGAUUCAUCUCUCCUAUUUCUCACGUAUCUCUGGCCAGAAAUUAUUUAUCCAUGAGCCCUGAACCGGUAAUAAUCAGAUAUGUUGGUUUAGCUUGUCAGUGUGAAUUAAAUCUAAGUAUGUAUUUGUAUUUUUAACCGAUUUAAAAGUGAAAGUAAAAGUCCGGUAAUUGCACCUGUAGGGGCGCUAUUUCUCUCAGACAAUGGAAGUCUGAAGCACAUAUACUCAAACAGAGGGACAGAGUGAGAUGAGAUGUCUGACAGUUUUUUAAUUUUCUGUUAUCCAUACAGUGUUGUAAAGUCGUGAAACUAUCCAUAUUUACUCAGAAUGACUUUUUUUCUGUAUGAAAAAAGGUUUUGAAGUGUUUGGAAUUUAAAAUGCAGGACAAUUAAUAAUUCCAUUUUUACUGUCAUUUAAAAAAAUCACCAUGACAAAACCAUUCAAGCUAUCCAAAAUCCAUUGGCAAUUUAAGUUGUUUAAAAUGUUUUGGCAUCAUGUAGACAAAGUUUGGUGUGUAUAGUGUUACUCUCCUCUGAGCAGUAUGCAUUAAUUCACAGCUAAAUGUAAAAAAAAAAUCCACAUUCAAAUCAAAAUAGCUGACUUCCUGUUGAUCGUAGCUGAUGACUGUGAAUUAGAAAGUUGUCCGUGUUGAUAAGAACAAUUUUUGUACCGAGUUUGGUGUCUGUAGCUAAAACUAACCCCCCCACUUUUGACAAAAGGUGGCGCUAUAGAGUGCCUCUUCCACGCCCUUUUAAAAGCUUUUGCCAUGGUCUAGCUAUCUUUAAUACUGAUAUCUGUUUCGAGUUUCAUGUAAAUCUGAGCUAGUUAUCUGCCUAAAAAUCACCAGAACAGAACAUUCAAGUUUGACACGUUGCCAUGGCAACACUAUAUUAGAUAUAAAUAUCCCCACGACAGAUUGUCUUCGGCCGUGUUUUGUCAUUAUUCUGAUGAAGUUUGAAGCAAAUCAAGUAAAAAUAAAAUGCUGAAUUCAAA